rnacentral:rRNA from 1 species
GACGAACGCUGGCGGCGUGCCUAAUACAUGCAAGUCGAACGCACUCUCGUUUAGAUUGAAGGAGUUUGCUCCUGAUUGAUAAACAUUUGAGUGAGUGGCGGACGGGUGAGUAACACGUGGGUAACCUGCCCUAAAGUGGGGGAUAACAUUUGGAAACAGAUGCUAAUACCGCAUAAAACCUAACACCGCAUGGUGUAGGGUUGAAAGAUGGUUUCGGCUAUCACUUUAGGAUGGACCCGCGGUGGAUUAGUUAGUUGGUGAGGUAAAGGCUCACCAAGACCGUGAUGCAUAGCCGACCUGAGAGGGUAAUCGGCCACACUGGGACUGAGACACGGCCCAGACUCCUACGGGAGGCAGCAGUAGGGAAUCUUCCACAAUGGACGAAAGUCUGAUGGAGCAACGCCGCGUGAGUGAAGAAGGUUUUCGGAUCGUAAAACUCUGUUGUUGGAGAAGAAUGUAUCUGAUAGUAACUGAUCAGGUAGUGACGGUAUCCAACCAGAAAGCCACGGCUAACUACGUG